rnacentral:ncRNA from 1 species
CAACCUCAACUCAUAUGGGACUACCCCCUGAAUUUAAGCAUAUUAAUUAGGGGAGGAAAAGAAACUAACAAGGAUUUUCUUAGUAGCGGCGAGCGAAAAGAAAACAGUUCAGCACUAAGUCACUUUGUUUAGGUGGCAAAUGUGAGAUGCAGUGUAUGGAGCGUCAAUAUUCUAGUAUGAGAAAUUAAUGAUUUAAGUCCUUUUAUAGGGAGGCCAUUUACCCAUAGAGGGUGCCAGGCCCGUAAGUAGGUUCCACCACAUUGGAGCUUCAGCUGCUCGAGAUGGUCAUAGCU